GGAGUGGACUGAGUAGUUUUUGAAGCCCAGUAGCAUACAAUUAGGUUAAAUCUAAUAUAUAACUGUUAGUGAAUGAAACCCUAGCCGUCUCCAACUUUGUUUUUCUCUGUGUUUUCUCUCAUCAUCGACGAUUCAACAAAGAAGAUGCGAUUCCUCACAGCAAGAUGAAGAACAUGAAGCGGAUCUUAAAGUUGGGGUUCAACAUGAAGAGCUUGUUAGUGAGAAACUUGUUCUAGAUGAUUAUCAUUUUGAAGACCCAUGUUUAAUCAAGGUAAAUGUUUUGCUUAACUUUUUAUUUUUGAAUAUGUAGAUCUGAGCUCUUGUAAAGUUUCAUAAACAAAUUUUGAUUAGAAAAUAUCAAAAGUUACGGGAGUUUAUAUAAAAAAUCAUGUGUCAUAUUUUAAACUCAAAGAUUAUUACUGUUUCUAACCUCCUAUAUUUUUUACAGGAUCUAUGUCUAGAAAAUGGAGCUGGAUCUAUGUUUGUUAGUGUUAAUGACAAUGGAUCUAGAUCUAUAUGUUUUUAACUCUUUGUUUUCUUAUUUAUUUUAAUGAGUUUGCUGGAUCUGUAUUUAUAUUUCCUCUAGAAAAUGAGAAGAAUAUUGUUUAAUCUCGUGUAACUUUUUAUGAACUGGGUAGCAUUAUUUUAGUAUAUUUGAUUUUCUUUUAGUUUCAGUAAAGAUUGACUUCAUUGUUGUUCUUUGAAGGUGCUGCUGCAAUGAAAAAAUGGAAUACAUUUUGGAGAAAGAGCUUUGUAAGUUGAUAUGGAAGUUUGUUUUUAAUUUUUUCUAACUAUGCCCUGUUAAGUUUUUUUUAUUUCUCUUCAAAGUUUUGUGCAGGUAGGAAUGAUUUUUGCGCAGUAGUAGUCUUGUUUUUGUGCAGGUUGGUGUUAUUGUUGCAAUAGUCUUAUUUUUGUUUUGGUGUUAUUGUUGCAAUAGUCUUUGAUUUUGUUCUGGUGUAAGUGGUUUCAAGGAUAAUGAAGAAAUUGUUGAUCCAAAUAUAUUGUAGAAAAUUUCAGAUUUAUGUUGGAUGUGAUCUAAAAGUUAAAAGGUAGAAGAAGACUUGUAAGUAGAAACAGGGAAGGAGGUUCACUUAGCAAUGAACAAGAUCAUUUUAAGAUCUUUGUAUUUAUGUUCAUGUGUUUUUUAAUUUUUGCAAGGACUUGAAAUUGAAUUUUAUUGAUUUAUUUUGUUAUAGUUUUUUAUUUAUA